ACUUGAAAUGCUGCCUUAUUUUCAUGUCACAGAAGAUUUGUGUACUUGUUUCAUUGUAUUAGCUAUUUCAAAGACUCUUCUUUUACACACUAGGCUGGAUCCUCCUGAAGAUGAAUUAGCCGCCAAUUCGUUUAGAUGCGCUCUCCCAUAUUAUGUACAUGUGUACAGGGAGGUGUAUAUUGGGCAUCAAUCAUACUGAUGUUUCCUUUGGGGCAGUGGCAUUUGAGUACUAUUAAAGAAUUCUUUAUUCUUUGAGCUUAUUGUUUAAUAAUAUCAAAGCCCUUGUAAGGUGUACCAUAACGCUUUGUGGCUAGAAAUAGUUUAUUCAUCUGUCAUCAAUAUGCUCAAGGGUAGGAAGUCCCGAUCAGAUGUUAAAGGUAGACAGUAUGAAAUACGAAGCCUGUUUUUUAUCUCCCUGUGCUUAGAAAACAUAAAUUCACUUUCAAGUGGGUCAUCCAGUUAUGAAUGUUUUAAAACGUCGUACAGGUGUAAGUCCAUUCUGUGAGUAGAAGGUGGAGGCCUUCUUUAAGAUUCAGGUCUCUGUAUGUCUUAAUGGAUGACGGAUUCUCAAGAAUACUAUGUGCUUGAUACAACAUUUUUAUCUAUAACUGAACUCAUUGCAUGGUGCAGAUCCUAUAUUUGGAAGGAAUGAAGAGAAAGAGGUUGGGCAUGUCUGGAACAAAGCAGUGGAUUCUGCACUGGGCACUGUGAUUGCAGCUUUUAACUCCCGCUGGUGGUGCCACCUCUCAUUGGUUUCAACAUUGAAGUGCUGUUUCUCUGUCGCCAUAGCACUUCACUAUUAUACUCUGAUUGUAUUUCUUCCUCUCUUACCAAGACCAUGCAUCUCGUUCUUAACCGUGCUAUAAUUAGGCCUACCUUUUUUUUCUUCUCUCCUUGAAUGGAUUGGCUAAAUGACUAUAUAUUAUUCGAAUAACGAUUAUUAAUACAUACAGGCCUAGAAAUUAUGUACCUUUUCUU